rnacentral:rRNA from 1 species
ACGGCGGGGUAACGGCCCACCGUGGCUUCGACGGGUAGCCGGCCUGAGAGGGCGACCGGCCACAUUGGGACUGAGAUACGGCCCAGACUCCUACGGGAGGCAGCAGUGGGGAAUAUUGCACAAUGGGCGCAAGCCUGAUGCAGCGACGCCGCGUGAGGGAUGGAGGCCUUCGGGUUGUAAACCUCUUUUAUCGGGGAGCAAGCGAGAGUGAGUUUACCCGUUGAAUAAGCACCGGCUAACUACGUGCCAGCAGCCGCGGUAAUACGUAGGGUGCAAGCGUUAUCCGGAAUUAUUGGGCGUAAAGGGCUCGUAGGCGGUUCGUCGCGUCCGGUGUGAAAGUCCAUCGCUUAACGGUGGAUCCGCGCCGGGUACGGGCGGGCUUGAGUGCGGUAGGGGAGACUGGAAUUCCCGGUGUAACGGUGGAAUGUGUAGAUAUCGGGAAGAACACCAAUGGCGAAGGCAGGUCUCUGGGCCGUUACUGACGCUGAGGAGCGAAAGCGUGGGGAGCGAACAGGAUUAGAUACCCUGGUAGUCCACGCCGUAAACGGUGGAUGCUGGAUGUGGGGCCCGUUCCACGGGUUCCGUGUCGGAGCUAACGCGUUAAGCAUCCCGCCUGGGGAGUACGGCCGCAAGGCUAAAACUCAAAGAAAUUGACGGGGGCCCGCACAAGCGGCGGAGCAUGCGGAUUAAUUCGAUGCAACGCGAAGGACCUUACCUGGGCUUGACAUGUUCCCGACGGUCGUAGAGAUACGGCUUCCCUUCGGGGCGGGUUCACAGGUGGUGCAUGGUCGUCGUCAGCUCGUGUCGUGAGAUGUUGGGUUAAGUCCCGCAACGAGCGCAACCCUCGCCCCGUGUUGCCAGCGGAUUAUGCCGGGAACUCACGGGGGACCGCCGGGGUUAACUCGGAGGAAGGUGGGGAUGACGUCAGAUCAUCAUGCCCCUUACGUCCAGGGCUUCACGCAUGCUACAAUGGCCGGUACAACGGGAUGCGACGCGGCGACGCGGAGCGGAUCCCUGAAAACCGGUCUCAGUUCGGAUCGCAGUCUGCAACUCGACUGCGUGAAGGCGGAGUCGCUAGUAAUCGCGAAUCAGCAACGUCGCGGUGAAUGCGUUCCCGGGCCUUGUACACACCGCCCGUCAAGUCAUGAAAGUGGGCAGCACCCGAAGCCGGUGGCCUAACCCCUUGUGGGAUGGAGCCGUCUAAGGUGAGGCUCGUGAUUGGGACUAAGUCGUAACAAGGUAGCCGUACCGGGAGGUGCGGCUG